rnacentral:rRNA from 1 species
GAAUCAUGAUAACUUCGCGGAUCGCACGGCCUUGCGCUGGCGAUGGUUCAUUCAAAUUUCUGCCCUAUCAACUUUCGACGGCUGGGUAUUGGCCAGCCGUGGUGACAACGGGUAACGGAGGGUUAGGGCUCGACCCCGGAGAAGGAGCCUGAGAGACGGCUACUACAUCCAAGGAAGGCAGCAGGCGCGCAAAUUACCCAAUCCCGACACGGGGAGGUAGUGACAAUAAAUACUGAUCCAGGGCUCUUUUGGGUCUUGGAAUUGGAAUGAGUACAAUUUAAAUCCCUUAACGAGGAACAAUUGGAGGGCAAGUCUGGUGCCAGCAGCCGCGGUAAUUCCAGCUCCAAUAGCGUAUAUUAAAGUUGUUGAGGUUAAAAAGCUCGUAGUUGAACCUUGGGCCUGGCUGGCCGGUCCGCCUCACCGCGUGCACUGGUCCGGCCGGGCCUUUCCCUCUGGGGAACCUCAUGCCCUUCACUGGGUGUGCUGGGGAACCAGGACUUUUACUCUGAACAAAUCAGAUUGCUCAAAGAAGGCUCUCGCUCGAAUGCAUUAGCAUGGAAUAAUAGAAUAGGACGCGCGGUCCUAUUUUGUUGGUUUCUAGGACCGCCGUAAUGAUUAAUAGGGACAGUGGGGGGCAUCCGUAUUCAGUUGUCAGAGGUGAAAUUUUUGGAUUUAAUGAAGACGAACUACUGAGAAAGCAUUUGCCAAGGAUGUUUUCAUUAAUCAGGAACGAAAGUUAGGGGAUCGAAGACGAUCAGAUACCGUCGUAGUCUUAACCAUAAACUAUGCCGAUUAGGGAUCGGAGGAUG